rnacentral:tRNA from 1 species
GCGGAUAUGGCGAAAUUGGUAGACGCGCUAGAUUUAGGGUCUAGUGCUAAAUAAGCGUAUGGGUUCAAAUCCCUUUAUCCGCA